UUCCCAAACUUGUGUCCCCAGACUGUCUGAACAGAGCGCUCAUAAAUGUUUAAUUAUGGACUUGUUCUUUUUUCCUCACAGUGCGCACAGAGCUCGAUUCUCAAGAGUGAAGGCUGAGGAAAGUCAAAUGACAGACUUCUCCUUUGGACCAAUAGAAGCCCCUAAAUCCCAAGGCAGUCAUUUUGAUCAAGCCGAGUGCCUACAAGCCCCACUCACAUGUUUGGUCAAGAGGAUCUCAGUGGAUUGGGAAGACAGUGAAGCUGCUUUACUCCUCAAGGAGGAGCUGAGGAGUUUGUCUGAAGAGCUGGCUCAGUGCCAGGUACAGUAUAGUACAAUAUUUAUUCAUCUUUUGUCUGUUUUU
rnacentral:lncRNA from 1 species